rnacentral:rRNA from 1 species
AUGCAGGAGCUGCACACCACCCUGACGCCGUCCUUCCUCGGCCUCUCGCCGUCCUCCGGGCUGCUCCCGGAGUCCAACGGCGCCAGCGACGUCGUCAUCGGGGUCCUCGACACCGGCGUGUACCCGGAAGGCCGCGCGUCCUUCUCCGCCGACCCGUCGCUGCCGCCGUUGCCGCCCGGCAAGUUCCGCGGCGGGUGCGUCUCGGGACCAUCGUUCAACGGCUCCGCGCUCUGCAACAACAAACUCGUCGGCGCCAAGUUCUUCCACAAGGGGCAGAAAGCUGCGCGCGGCAGUGCGUUCGGUGAGGACUCGGAGUCGCCGCUCGACACCAACGGCCAUGGUACCCACACCUCCUCCACCGCCGGCGGCUCUGCUGUUGCCGACGCAGCCUUCUACGACUAUGCCAGAGGAAAAGCCGUCGGCAUGGCCCCGGGUGCGCGCAUUGCCGUCUACAAAGUGUGCUGGAAAGGGUGCGCGAGCUCUGACAUCCUCGCCGCGUUUGAUGAAGCCAUCGCGGACGGUGUCGACGUUAUCUCUCUCUCCCUCGGCUCCAACGGCAAGGCCCCAGACUUUUACAGCGAUACGACCGCCGUGGGCGCGUUCCGCGCCGUAAGCAAGGGCAUCGUCGUCUCCGCUUCCGCGGGAAACUCGGGCCCCAGAGAGUCCACCGCUGUCAACGUCGCGCCAUGGUUCUUGACGGUCGGCGCGUCCACCCUCAAUCGCCAAUUCCCGGCCGACGUCGUUCUCGGCAACGGCGAGACCUUCACGGGUACUUCUCUCUACGCGGGCGAGCCGCUGAGCGCGACCAAGAAACCAUUGGUCCACGCAGGGGACGUGGGCUCGAAAAUUUGCGAAGAAGGGAAGCUGAACUCCACCAUGGUAGCCGGGAAGAUCGUCUUCUGCGACCCCGGUGUGUACGCCCGGGCUGCGAAAGAACAAGCCGUAAAGCUCGCCGGUGGUGCCGGAGCAAUUUUCGGUAGCCCCGAAGCAUACGGCGAGCAGGCCAUGACUAGCGCCUAUGUCCACCCAGCCACGGCUGUCACAUUUGCCGCUGCCGAGAAGAUCAAGAAGUACAUAAGCGCGCAGACAUCGCCUACCGCGACGAUUGUGUUCCAUGGCACCGUGGUCGGCCCGACGCCUCCUUCCCCUAGAAUGGCGUCCUUUUCGAGCCGCGGCCCCAACACCCGCGCAGUGGAGAUCUUCAAGCCGGACGUGACCAUGCCAGGCGUGGACAUCCUCGCCGCUUGGACGGGGGCUAACUCACCCUCGGAGCUCGCCAGCGACACGAGGCGAGUGAAGUACAACAUCAUAUCGGGCACGUCCAUGUCAUGCCCGCACGUGAGCGGCAUCGCCGCGCUGCUCCGGCAGGCGAGACCGGAGUGGAGCCCCGCCAUGAUCAAGUCUGCCCUGAUGACCACCGCGUACAACAUGGACAACGCUGGCGCCGUCAUCGGCGACAUGUCCACCGGCAAAGCGUCCACGCCAUUCGCACGAGGGGCCGGGCACGUCGACCCCAACCGCGCGGUCGACCCGGGAUUGGUGUACGAUGCCGGCACGGAGGACUACAUCACCUUCCUGUGCGCGCUGGGCUACACGGACAAGCAGAUCGCCGUAUUCAGCUCGUCCACCAACUGCUCUACGCGCGCGGGCUCCUCCGUCGGCGACCACAACUAUCCAGCAUUCUCGGUGGUGUUCACCACGAACAAACUCGCUGUCGUCAGGCAGCGCCGCGUCGUGCGCAACGUCGGCGGCGAUGCCAGGGCUACGUACAGGGCCAAGGUGACUGCCCCCGACGGCGUGCUCGUCACGGUGAGCCCCCGGACGCUGAGGUUCACCGCGACGCAGAAGACGCAAGAGUACGUGGUCACCUUUGCGCAACGAAUCUUCGGGGGCGUCAAGGGGAAUCACACGUUCGGGUCGAUCGAGUGGAGCGACCGCAAGCACACGGUGACGAGCCCCAUCGCCAUCACCUGGCCAGCGAGCAAGGUUGCGGACAUGUGA